GAUGAACGCUGGCGGCGUGCCUAAUACAUGCAAGUCGAGCGAACGGGCGAGAAGCUUGCUUUUCUGAUGUUAGCGGCGGACGGGUGAGUAACACGUGGAUAACCUACCUAUAAGACUGGGAUAACUUCGGGAAACCGGAGCUAAUACCGGAUAAUAUUUUGAACCGCAUGGUUCAAAAGUGAAAGACGGUCUUGCUGUCACUUAUAGAUGGAUCCGCGCUGCAUUAGCUAGUUGGUAAGGUAACGGCUUACCAAGGCAACGAUGCAUAGCCGACCUGAGAGGGUGAUCGGCCACACUGGAACUGAGACACGGUCCAGACUCUACGGGGGGCAGCAGUAGGGAAUCUUCCGCAAUGGGCGAAAGCCUGACGGAGCAACGCCGCGUGAGUGAUGAAGGUCUUCGGAUCGUAAAACUCUGUUAUUAGGGAAGAACAUAUGUGUAAGUAACUGUGCACAUCUUGACGGUACCUAAUCAGAAAGCCACGGCUAACUACGUG
rnacentral:rRNA from 1 species